rnacentral:rRNA from 1 species
UACGUAGGGGGCUAGCGUUGUCCGGAUUUAUUGGGCGUAAAGAGCGUGUAGGCGGCCAUGUAGGUCCGGUGUGAAAACUCGAGGCUUAACCUCGAGAUGUCAUCGGAAACCAUUUGGCUAGAGUCCGGAAGAGGAGAGUGGAAUUCCUGGUGUAGCGGGUGAAAUGCGCAGAUAUCAGGAAGAACACCAAUGGCGAAAGCAGCUCUCUGGGACGGUACUGACGCUGAGACGCGAAAGCGUGGGAGCGAACAGG